ACGACGCUGGCGGCGUGCCUAAUACAUGCAAGUCGAACGGUCUUUCUAUGGAAGCUUGCUUCCACUGAGAAGAUAGUGGCGAACGGGUGAGUAACACGUGGGUAACCUGCCCAUAAGAGGGGGAUAACAUCCGGAAACGGGUGCUAAUACCGCAUAGUUUUCUUGAUCGCAUGAUCGGGAAAGGAAAGACGGCCUUUGUGCUGUCGCUUAUGGAUGGACCCGCGGCGUAUUAGUUAGUUGGUGAGGUAACGGCUCACCAAGACGAUGAUACGUAGCCGACCUGAGAGGGUGAUCGGCCACAUUGGGACUGAGACACGGCCCAAACUCCUACGGGAGGCAGCAGUAGGGAAUCUUCCGCAAUGGACGAAAGUCUGACGGAGCAACGCCGCGUGAGUGAAGAAAGGUUUUCGGAUCGUAAAACUCUGUUGUCAGAGAAGAACAAGUUGGAGAGUAACUGCUCCAGCCUUGACGGUAUCUGACCAGAAAGCCACGGCUAACUACGUGCCAGCAGCCGC
rnacentral:rRNA from 1 species